UGGGCGGAAGCCUGACGCAGCGACGCCGCGUGGGGGAUGACGGCCUUCGGGUUGUAAACCUCUUUCAGCAGGGACGAAGUUGACGUGUACCUGCAGAAGAAGCGCCGGCUAACUACGUGCCAGCAGCCGCGGUAAUACGUAGGGCGCAAGCGUUGUCCGGAAUUAUUGGGCGUAAAGAGCUCGUANGUGGCUUGUCGCGUCGGAUGUGAAAGCUUGGGGCUUAACUCCAGGUCUGCAUUCGAUACGGGCAAGCUAGAGGUAGGCAGGGGAGAACGGAAUUCCUGGUGUAGCGGUGAAAUGCGCAGAUAUCAGGAGGAACACCGGUGGGGAAGGCGGUUCUCUGGGCCUUACCUGACGCUGAGGAGCGAAAGCGUGGGGAGCGAACAGGAUUAGAUACCCUGGUAGUCCACGCCGUAAACGUUGGGCGCUAGGUGUGGGGGCCUUCCACGGUUUCCGCGCCGUAGCUAACGCAUUAAGCGCCCCGCCUGGGGAGAACGGCCGCAAGGCUAAAACUCAAAGGAAUUGACGGGG
rnacentral:rRNA from 1 species